CUAUAUUGUCGAGCAUAGCUAACCAACAAGUAGCAAUAUAAGGGUCUCCAUGAAAUGCUAAGGGAGACUACCCUAUCGAGUGCCGCUUGGUUCUGCUGCGCCAAUGCCUCUGUCAGCGUCCUUUCGAAUUAAUUCGUAUGCCGCAUUUCACAAAGCUCAUUUUUUUAAAAGAAAAAAUAUUCUGCAAUGCAGCGUAGAUUACGAUAUUAGACAUAUAGAAGGCAGCAAAAACUCUAUAUUUUUUAUGUAAGGACUAAAUCAUGUCCAGAUGUACAAAACUCCAGCUGCAUGAUCACGUAUUAUUAGAUAACAGUUUUGUUUUACUCUAUGUACUUAAUUGAAAAAUUAGUUUGAUGACAUUCGUAACUGUGAUAAGACAAACAUAAGGCCAC
rnacentral:lncRNA from 1 species